UAAUUGCUGCUUUUUCAAAUUGUACCGGAUUUGAAUUUGAAUUUGAAUGUAUGCUACAGCUUUAUUCAUAUCCAUCAGGUUCAAAGAACCAAUGCAUUAUUUGAUUCAUAGGUACGUAUGUUCAAGAAUUACAUAAGAACCAAAUAAAGAAUGAUGAACCACAGUUGUAUACUUCUACUAUUAAAGACGGUAAAGAAAGAGGCGAAAUAUAUUCUGGUUGCUGAACAAGGUGAAGCGGAAUGCCCGUAUUGUGCCCUCCUCCAUGCAGAAGGCACACACGACUCUAGUCCAACCCCUUGUGAUGGCCGACAGCCCAUCUUCACGGUCUUCAUGAAAACAUGUAGAUAAUCAUCGUGUUCUGGUAGAAAUACUUUAACCUUUGUAUGCCCACCAAUCAUGUAGUUUGAGAGGGCAACCAUUGCAAAGAAAAAAGAUUCAGACAUUGUCAUCUAACACAACUCAUUAUGGGCAGUAAAAAGAAGGCUGAAGAGUUCUUACUUACCAUCCUGCAGUUCGUUGUUGUCUUGGAUAAAGUGUAAACAAAUAGUUUAAUUGCCAUCUUUGGACCCAUUUUACUAACAAUCUUUAUCAGCUUCCUCACUUGAUGUUGGUUCAUCGAUAUCUCAUUGCCCCAUACGCGGAAAGGGUCGAUGCGCGGAUCUUUACCAAUGACAUAUGUACCUAAAAGCACCAAGUUAAUAUUAGAAGCUAAACAACAAUUGCGGAAUGAUGUAGUACAACACUCUUUUAAAAUAUGUCUAUAUACAUCCGUAUGUGGUAGUCCAUUUGAAAUCUCUAAAAAGACAAACAUUUAGGAACAGAGGGAGUAUCUUAUAACAUCCAAUAUACUCACAUAUUAGAUGAAUUAACAUCUUAUAUUAUGGGCCGGGCGGAGUUUAGUGCAUUCUUACAAAUUAUCGGCUGAUUAACUGUUGUUGUAUCCAUGGGUUAUAGUUAGUUUGAGUUAGUUCGAGCUCAAAUAGCCCAAAAGUAUAUCUAAACAUGAGGCUAGUUUGAGCUAGUUGCAUCUAUAACCCACCCAAAAAACUAUUCAACCCAAGAGGUGCUAAUUGGAGCUAGUUCUCCUAGUGCAUUUAUUGUCAAUCUAACCCUGCCAUCCAAACAACUCUUUGGAUGGAGUUAGUUCAGGGUUAGUCAUGAGCUAGAAACUAACUCUAACCUCUAGCUAAGUUGAGUAUCCAAACAGGGCUAUGUUGUUGUUGUUGUUGCUGCUGCUGCUCUUCUACAUAUAUCUAGACAUCAUUAGAACAUUAAUGUAACACUCUUCCUUGUUGCUAUGUAGCCUAGGAUUGCAUAUUUAGACAUUAAGUACAGUGCAUGUUGCUUUGUAGCCUCAGAUAUAUUACAUAUGGCCCUAGUUAACCUAACGAUAAAUGGGUUGCAGAUAUAUUCAGUUAAAAGUCUGAUUCACCGAUUAGUAGCUUAUCAGCCGCCGGCCUAUAUGGUACCAGCUACCGAUAUCCUGAACAGUGAGCAGAUAUAAGCCAUGGGAUGAAACUAACCUCGAUGGAAAACAUCAGUCGUUCCCAAAAUUGUGCUGUGUAGGUACAUUGAGAAGCAUGUUAAGCACAACAGGCUAAACAUCAACCAAAAUUAUCCAUGGCAGUCAAAAUAAUCUCCAAAAGAUAGCUUUAGUGUGCAGGUUUAAGCAUACUAGUGAAGCAAAACAAGUGGAAAGGUCUGCUAACUGCAACAGGCCUAACAUUUAACAACAAGCAAACAUAGUCAUUCAAACUGGUAUUGUGCUGGUCUAAGUACACUGGUUAUUGUUAAAUAAAAAUGGAAAGGUGUGUUAACUACAAGAUGCAUCAACCAAAUGUAGUCAUUCAUUGUGGUAUUGUUGAAACUGGUACUGAUGAAAUUGAAAUGCACAGUUCAUACUUGCACAUAUAGAACAUCACGUUGUGAAUAACUAGAAUAAACAAGGCAUACUACGAACAACCAAAGAUAGCAUUCGAAACUGGACAUAUGCUAACUACAAACAACCGAACAAUCAAAAAACUUUAAAAGAGGCAUAUGCUAGCUAUAACAGGCUUAACAGCAAGCAAAUAUAUGCAUUCCUAUCGGUAUGUUUAAAACUGGAUUGAUGAAAUGUACUGCACAGUAAAUAAUUGCACAUAUAGAGCAUCACAUUGUGAACAACUGAAAUAAACAAGGCAUACUGCAAACAACUAGAUAUAGAAGUUAAAACUGGACAUAUUCUCACUACACUACAAAAGGGACUCGACAAAACAAAUCAUGGGUUUCCCCCUGUGAAGAGGCACGGAAAAACAAAUCAUGGGUUUCCUCACUUGUCAUAGAUGGGCUCGUUCCCGUGGGAAGAGCACGGACCCUGGAUGCUCUCCAUGUUGUCGCAGAUGGGCUCCUUCCCCUUGGAAGAGCACGGGUGUAGGGUGCCCUCCCUGAUGUCGCAAACGGGCACUUUCCCCUUGGAAGAGCAGAUGGGCUCUUUCCCCUUGGAAGAGUCGGAGAGGGUGCCCUCCUCGUGGUCGCCGUCGACGAGGUCUGACUUGGAAGCUGUGGAUCCCAAGCCAGCGUCGCAGAACAUGUCCUUCGGAAAUGACAAAAGGGGCUCGAUGGCGAUGUAGAAUGGCAAAUUGUUGAGAGCGAGCCAGAGGAGAUCAGCGGCGGGGACAUGGAUGAGAUCGACGGCGGUUGAACCCGCGGGGUUGGGGUGGGCCACUUAACCUAUGACAUAGCCCGCCUUAGGCCGUCGAUGUCGAUGACCUCGAUGUCGUAGCCGGCGGCCGAGACAUGCCCGCAUACUCUAGCCCGCUGCUUGAGUGCCUGCCGCCAGUAAUGGUCAUUGGCUUCCUCGGGGACGUCGAGCGAAGUGACCGCUAUACACCUCUUUUAGGCCAGUCGCUCCUCGAGCUCCAUGGGAAGCGUAGCCGGGCUUAGGCUGCGACGCUCUGGUGUGGGUGAUGGGGAUGGGGAUCUAUGGGAAAGGGGGCGUCUGGCAGGCGUCAUCUAAGAAACUCAGGGCGGCCUGGGUAUGGAGAUUGGUGGGUAAGCUGCACGGGCAAACCGGCAGAUGUUGACAAUAGAGGCCUUGCGGUGGCGACUGCGGCAGUGGCGGCGGGGACCUUGCAAGGGUUUGGAGCGUGGAGGGGGUGUGUGUGUGUGCGCGCACGCCCGAGGAGGUUUUGUUGUGUGUGUGUGUGUGUGUGUGUGGAGGGGGCGCGGGGUGUUUGAGGAAAUGACGCGGGUACUGAAAAUUUUACUACGCGGGAGUCAAACGCAGGAGUGAAAUGCCGGGCUAUUGUAAAUUUUGAUGAUAGUGGAUCGCACACGGUCCGGAGAUAACAACCGUGUGUUAUGAAACAAAAAAACCCUCGAGGCAGGCAGAUAUUUUCUAGGGACGCAGGCGGGAUUGGGAACAAGAAACACCGCACACGGUCCGGAGAUAAAAAACCAUGUGUUAUGAAACAGAAAAACCCUCGAGGCGGGUAGAUAUUUUCUAGGGAUGCAGGCGGGAUUGGGAACAAGAAACAUCGCACACGGUCCGGAGAUAACAACCGUGUGUUACGAAACAGAAAAACCCUCGAGGCGGGCAGAUAUUUUUGAGAGGGGGAGCCUCGUGGAGCCCAAUGUAUUGUGCGGAUGUGUGCGUGACAGGGGCACCGGCGUGGCACACAGUUUGUUUGAGUGAACCGUGUCUGCUGCGUCAUCCGACUUGUCUAAUGUUCAUAAAUUUGGCGAAAAAUGACGCGGGAGAGGGUCAGAACAUGAACACACUUGCAUGUGGACCAAAUUUAUGUAUCAAAAGGGUGGGUUGAUUUUCAAAUACCAAAUGCAAAUUCGAUGUGGCACCUCUCUCACAAAGUGCACGGUAUUGCUUGCCCCCACCCCCCUCGUGUCGACACGAAGGGAAUCCUAAGCUAUGAAUGCAUGCCCCUCCCCCCAACCAAGGUUCACCUAGCAAAGUGCGAAGUAGCUAGCAGCCCCCCUCCUCCCUUGUGUCGGCAUGAAGGGAAUGCUAAGCUAUGAAUGCAUGCCCCCCAACCGAGGUUCAUUCACCUAGCAAAUUGCGAAGUAGCUAGCAACCCACCNNNNNNNNNNNNNNNNNNNNNNNNNNNNNNNNNNNNNNNNNNNNNNNNNNNNNNNNNNNNNNNNNNNNNNNNNNNNNNNNNNNNNNNNNNNNNNNNNNNNNNNNNNNNNNNNNNNNNNNNNNNNNNNNNNNNNNNNNNNNNNNNNNNNNNNNNNNNNNNNNNNNNNNNNNNNNNNNNNNNNNNNNNNNNNNNNNNNNNNNNNNNNNNNNNNNNNNNNNNNNNNNNNNNNNNNNNNNNNNNNNNNNNNNNNNNNNNNNNNNNNNNNNNNNNNNNNNNNNNNNNNNNNNNNNNNNNNNNNNNNNNNNNNNNNNNNNNNNNNNNNNNNNNNNNNNNNNNNNNNNNNNNNNNNNNNNNNNNNNNNNNNNNNNNNNNNNNNNNNNNNNNNNNNNNNNNNNNNNNNNNNNNNNNNNNNNNNNNNNNNNNNNNNNNNNNNNNNNNNNNNNNNNNNNNNNNNNNNNNNNNNNNNNNNNNNNNNNNNNNNNNNNNNNNNNNNNNNNNNNNNNNNNNNNNNNNNNNNCUCGUGUCGGCACGAAGGGAAUCCUGAGCUAUGAAUGCAUGCCCCCCAACCGAGGUUCACCUAGCAAAGUGCGAAGUAGCUAGCAGCCCCCCUCCCUCGUGUCUGCAUCAACCGGAAAGAAGAAGCGGGGAAAGGGGUAGCAAAGCAACCGUGAGUACUCAUCCAAAGUACUCGCAAGCAUCAGAUCUAUGCUAAGUAUGCAUUGGUAUCGAAUGGAAGGGUUGUAUCUGUGGACUGAACUGCAGAAUGCCAGAAUAGAGGGGAAGGCCUAGCCUAUCAAAGACUAGCAACUUCAAGCAUCUCAAAGCAUCUUGCAGCAUGCAGAAGAGUAAAGAACAGCAGUUUAUAAUUAUCAAACAUUUUCUAACAUUAACGCCCAGAGAUCCUUCCUCGACUCCCUACGAGAAAGCAAUCCCGGAGCCACAUAUCCAUCACAUGUAUCAAGUAUCCAUUUCUAGUUAUAUAAGAUCCGGAUACAUGUCCGAACGUCCAUUACCGUGGACACGGUAUUCGAAUAUAUAUCUUCCGUGCAGGGUGCACCACGUUACCCAACACGCUCGAUCACUCUGGCUGUACACACCUUUCUGGGGUCAAUGCCUGGCCUCGGAAUAUCAACACGUCGCAACCCUACCUAGGCUCAACAGAGAGGUCCCCGUCGGUCUACAUCCUAAGUGCCCCGGGGUCUUGGGCCCAUCGCCUGUUGCACUCCGGGUCGUUGCGAGCAGGGUGGAUACCAGCACUGCCUCGGAUGGCCAGCACGAUCCAACCGUGCCGCAGUUCUGAACUGGACGUCUGACAAAGCUUCGACUGAUACUGACGUCGAGGCCCAUAUCUAUUCUCGCGUGGUGGUUAGUGCGUAAAGGCCAGAGGCCAACUCAGAACAAAUACCCAAACCUGUUAGUGCAUUGGGGGCUCGCGGAGACGAGCUGAGACUCAAGAUAAUGUGACCCCGUCGCCCCGUCUCGUGGACUUACAGCAAGGGCCCAGACUGCCCGGCCGUGCCACGUGGAAAACUCGUGGGUGCUUUACGGGCCCACCCGACUUUCACAUCAACUCGCGGGUACCCCUCAGGGCCGACCCGACUUCAACAAUGGUCUCAAGUAAAGUCAAGGUAACCGUGUGUCCAAACAUCAAGGAGAAAACCCGAGGAAUCACCCACAGAGGAUUCCACUCGAUGUAAUCAUCAAGGUGAACGUAAGAGGAUCCACCCUCGAGGUUCACACUUGAGGUGUUGCACGACAGCCGUAUCGAGAAUGGUGAAAGAGGAACCACCCUCGUUGACCACAACCGAAUAGCUACACUACAGAAUUAUCAUCAGGAGUGUGUUAUGAGGGAUCACCCUCGGCACUCGAUAGUAGCUCUGCAGAGUCGAGCAACUAAAGGGGCGUGAUGUGAUGUGAGGUGUCGGGCUCUGGUCAUUGAUCACGUUGAUCGAGUCGUCGAAGAGGAAGCAGGGGCAACAAGGACAAAGUGGGGGUCACUGAUGGAUCACUAACCAACCUAUACUAAGCAGUUUAGGAUAAGCAGGUAAGUAACAAUAAGCAGGUUACAAAAUCAGGCUAUGCAUUAGAAUAGAGCAAUCAAAAUACAGUAGCAAAAUCUAAUGCAAGCAUGAGAGAAUGGAAUGGGCGAUGUCGGGAUGAUCAAAGGGGGGGCUUGCCUGGAAACUCCGUUGAAAGGGAAGAAGGGUCGUCGUCGACGUAGUCGAUCACAAGGGCAUCAGCAGUGGUCUCGGGGUCUACCGGGGAGAAGAGGGGGAAGAAACAGUAAAUACAUAGCAAACAGAUGCAUGACAAAGCAUAACAUGGCAAUACGCGAUGCAAGGGGUGUUCUAACGCAGUGCUAGGUGAUACUGGCGAAGGGAGAAAACAUCCAAGAAAGUUUUCCCGGUUCCGGACGUCUGUGAGAUAGAUGAACCGGAGGGGAAAGGUUUGACGUUUGCUAGGAUAGGGACGUGUGGCGGUCGAACGGACCGCGUAUUCGGAUUCAUCUCGUCGUUCUGAGCAACAUUCAUGUAUAAAACUUUUUAUCCGAGAUACGGUUUAUUUUCUAGGAUUUUUCAAAGAUUUAAUAAUAUUAUGAAAUUGUUUUAAUUAUUUAAUUCAAAAUUAAAUAGUGUUGAUUCUAUUUAUACACAGCAACAGCUAGCCACUGAGUAUGACAGGUGGGGUCCAGGGGCCUUGUUUACCAAAUCAACAUUUGACUAUUCAACAGGUGAAUAAUGCAAGUGGGUCCUACCUGUCAAUGACUUAUGGGUUAAUAAACUAUUUUUUCGAGGGUAGGCCAAAGGCGUACCAUAGCUUUAUAGAAGAGGAGAAUGGGUUAAUAAAAUAUUUAAACUAGUUGAAUUAGUGGUGAAGGGGUCCCACAUGCCAUAGUCAGCAACUAAACUAUUCUAGUUAAUUAGAUAAAUUAGCUGUAGGGGCUCCACAUGUCAUUGGGGGUUAGUUAGUCUGAUUAGUGCUAAACUAAUUAGACCGGCCAUAUGUAUUGGUUGUGCCACGGUUGGGCACAAGGAGCAUGAGCUCCAUGGCCGGCUAGGAGUUCCUGGUGGCAGCAUCGGCAGUAGCGGCCGUAGCAGCAACAGUGGUGAGGAGCAGCAUAGUAGCAAGAGCAGCAGCUUGGCAAGAGCAGCAGUGAGCAGCCGCAGCAACAGCAAACAGGCAGCAGUGCCUCGCAACAGCAGCAGAGCAGUAGGUGCGCGCGGCGCAUGCGGGCAGCGCGAGUGGCAGCAGCCGGUAUGCAGGAGCGGCACCAGUGCAGUGCAAGCGGCUGUAGUAGCGGCGCGGUCAGCAAAGAGCAGCAGCUUAGAGCACGCACACUCGUACGUACACAUUCGCGCGAGAUCGAAUAGGCUUGGGGACAGCAAACGACGACCGGGUCGGGGCAGAGGAAGGGGGAUCCGGAGGAUUUCCUCACCAGGAGUCCAUUGGCGCGCUCGAGGACGGUCGGGGUGGACCGGAGACGAGGUAAACGAUGAUGGCGGCCGGCGAUGCAUGCGGCGAAGAAGAGCUCGAUCGCGAGCGUAUGAGGCGGCUCCGCUCGAGUUGAUGCUCGGUACGGACGAAGACGGCCACGCUGGACCUCCUGGACGUCCUCCCGCGCGUAGGUGACAACGGUGGCCGCGACAGUGGCGAUGGCGCGUUGACGGCAGCUCGUGCACGAGGAACAGAGGAGAAGCGCGAGAGGAGGGGAAAUUUUGGGGGCUAGGGUUCCAGAGGGGAGGGAGGCCGCUGGGGGCGCUCUUAACCAACAAGGGGAGCCGCGGGAUGCCUGGCACCUGGCCGGGGUGCCAUGGAUGCCCGCCACGGCUCCCCUGCUCCUGUAGCGUGAGGGGGAUGAGUGGGGGUGUUGGUUGGGACUGGUUGUUUAGCUAGAUGGGUCAAGUGGCCCGGCGGGAGGGUUUCUCUUUUCUCUUUAUUUUCUGCCUUUACUUAUUUAUUUAUUUUUUUCCGCUUUGCUUUUAUUUUUAAAAGUAUAAUAGUUUUAUAAAAUAUAAGACUUGGUCCUUAAUUAGCAUUGCAGAUUUAGACACUGCCUCUAAAAGUAUGGAAUUUAUUUAACAAUAGUUUGGAUUGUAUAUAUAAAUUAAAAGCAAUUAAAAUAUUGUUUGGGACCCCAUUUAAAUGUUUUUGGGAAUUUAAAUUAUUUUAUUAAGUGUUGGUUACACUAUGAUAAUUAUUCAGUGAAUAUUUGCAACCAACCCUACAUUUUUUAUUUAAUGUUUGAAGAAGUAAUAAUUUCACUUGCUAUUUAAAUUUGAAUUUGACUAACGGUUUGGAUCAAAGUGAGGUUUAGAAAAUUAAUGGCGAUGACAUGGCACCAUUAGUGUGUGGUUACUGUAGCUUAAUUAUCUGGGUGUCACAAUUCUCCUCCACUACAAGAAAUCUCGUUCCGAGAUUGAAGGGGUGUAGUAUGGGGAAAAGACUCGGGAAUGACGGAACUCAACAUAAGAUAGGUACCUGGGGGCUAUCUCAUUGAGCGUGGCAUAGAGGCCUCUCUCGAGUUGAAAUUUAAGAAAGUCCUCGAGGGCAAGGUAAGAAGGUGCAAUAAGAAGCUUCAACCGGAUAGACAAACGUUUAGUACCUGAAACAGACGGUGAAAGGGGUUCAGAGCAAUGGGAAUAAGUAUUGCGUCUGAUAUCAAAAUAGAUCACUAGGAAGGUGGCUUGUGAUUUACAUACGAAGCCAAGCGCGAGGAACAAUUUUGGAAAAUAGGGAUGAACAUGAGAGCCAGGUUCCGAUCCUAUGGAACUGUGGGUUAUGGGCCCACCAUGUGGGUUAAAAGCAGGAAGGGUGCUAACAUUUGCAUGGUCAUGAUAGCAAGGCAGGUCGGAGGAUAGCCUGUCAGUUAUGUUAGUACCAACGUUGGUACCAAGGGCGAGGGACGAAGAGAACCAUUUUCCUGCUCGUUAAGACGAGGCGGACCAAUAAGCAAAGUUCUCGUCCAUCGGCGGCUACCAUAAUGUCAUCAACCAUAGUAAUAAGGUCUUAUUGACAGAGUUGUACACCGAGGUGUUUACAUAAGCAGGAAAUUAUCACUGCUCAGAUAUGUUAGGUUACAAGAAAGGUUAAACAAAACAAUGGAAAGGAAAGUUUAGACUCGAACCAAUUAUCGGUGUUCUCGAGUGUCUAACAACUCAGAACCAGUGGAAAAUUGGAAUCAGCAAGAAAUAAUAGUUGAUGAAGAACUCAUAAGAGGCUAUGUAGUUCCGUGAUAUUCUCGAGAUACCAGAGGGUAAUACUCGAAGGUAGAACCGGACAGAGGUUGGACAGAAGAAAAGAUCUGCAGAAGACAAGUACUUUAACUUGUCUGAGAAAUGAGAUCAAAGAAGAACAAUCUGGUCGGAACCACGGUGGCAAAGGACCAAACAUAGAUACAAGAUGAACUUAUCAAAAGGGGAUUAUGAUUAUUUCAGGAAGCUUCCAUGAUAAGUUGCACAUCGGGUCCAUGGGCAUGAACGCAAAGGAUCAAGGUCGACUCCCACUUCAUCAAUAAUGCAUAACCUAUUCACUUCUUAUUUUCGACAAAGCCAUAGUGUUCAGAUUUUAUCUAGCAUAACACUAGUAGAGUAUGACCCGUAGAAGUUUCCGGGUUCACACAGAUUGUGGAAGGCAUAGGUUCAACCCAUCGGGGCAUCUUAGGAACCCAUACCACAAACUUUAGGAAUAAAUAACUCAAGCUCAGAAGCAUAUCAUGGUUGACAAAAGCAGGGAUACAAUUUACCAAAGGCAUUAUGUAUCCGAGGAAAAGCUCACAAGGUUACUGAAUAUGAAGGACCCUAUUGGAUAAAACCCAACAAAGGACCUGGAGGUCCACAAUGGAUCUGAUGUGAGUAUCGGUACUCAACCAGAAGAAGAAAGAAUGCAUGGAGGUCAGGUUAUAGAAACAACUAACUAAUUCAAAGCUCAAAUGCAAAGGAAUUAUGGUUUCCAAAUCGGGGGAUCAGAAAUAGAGGCUCUGAUCAAAGACAAGUAAGGUGAAUAGACAUAGAUCGACAAUCAAGCAAGGCUUGAUUCAUCGAACACCAGCUCAUGUCCGGAGUGACGUCUGAACCAUGGGAAGGAUUUUAACUAGGACUGGUGAUCGCAAGCAUUCACAAACAAAUCGAAUCAAAUGCUCGAAAUCACGAUGACAAAGGAUGCUAAUGAGCAUUGCUCGACAUACGGAGUAACCAUAAUGCAAGCAGAUAAGUAUUUGCCGAGCAAUAGUUGGAAAGGAUUACCGGAAGAUCGGAUAGUACUUCAAAGUAUGAAUCACUUGAUCAACUAGGAAUCAACAAAUCCUUGAAAAGUGUGAGGAAUUAUUCAUAGGGGUAUUCAUGCGGCAAGGAACUGGAGGGCAGUGCCAGUAAGCAUAAAGGAUUCUCGGAACAUCAGAGAGUAUUUCAGGACAUCUUGUAAUAACAAGGGCAGCUGGGGAUGAAGGUAUGAACGACAAUGUAGAUAGUUACCCAUAAGGAUUUUUCGGUGGUAGGGAUCGCAACGGCGAAGGGCACAAGGGUCUAGGGAAAACAUCGGAGAGUAUCUUCAGAAUCUCCUAGUGCACCAAGCAAUCAUCUGGAGUGAGGGGCUCUCCGGGAGAAAGUAUUUACGAGAACCUAGAGUUAUUGUUAGCAAAACCAUUUAACCCGAAUAGAAGAGAGAUCAGAUUCCCAGAGUAUAGACGAGGAAUAAAAGAUCCUAAUACCACCCAAUGGCGACGUGGGACCGUAAGCCACACAACCAUGUUAGUAAAACAGUUUUUCAAAGACUAGACUCAACUUCGGCCAAGGAGUUGGAAAGGGGGAUCCUACAGGCAGUCGGCUCUGAUACCAACUUGCCUCGGGGCCUUGGGGCCAUCGCCCGUUGCACUCCGGGUCGUUGCGAGCAAGGUGGAUACCAGCACCACCUCGGAUGGCUAGCAUGAUCCAACCGUGCCGCAGUGCUGAACUGGACGUCUGACAAAGCUUCGGCUGAUACUGCGACGUCGAGGCCCAUAUCUAUUCUCGCGUGGUGGUUAGUGCAUAAAGGCCAGAGGCCAACUCAGAACAAAUACCCAAACCUGUUAGUGCAUUGGGGGCUCGCGGAGACGAGCAGAGACUCGCGAUAAUGUGACGCCGUCGCCCCAUCUCGUGGCCUUAUGGCAAGGGCCCAGACUACCCGGCCGUGCCACAUGGAAAACUCGCCGGUGCUCUACGAGCCCGCCCGACUUUCACAUCAACUCGCGGGUACCCCUCAGGGACGAUCCGACUUCUACAAUGGUCUCAGGUAAAGUCAAGGUAACCGUGUGUCCAAACAUCAAGGGGAAAACCCGAGGAAUCACCCACGGAGGAUUCCACUCGAUGUAAUCAUCAAGGUGAACGUAAGAGGAUCCACCCUCGAGGUUCAUACUUGAGGUCUUGCACGAUAGCCGUAUCGGGAAUGGUGAAAGAGGAACCACCCUCGUUGACCACUACCGAAUAACUACACUACAGAAUUAUCAUUAGCAGUGCGUUAUGAGGGAUCACCCUCGGCACUCGAUAGUAGCUCUACUGUGUCGAGCAACUAAAGGGGCGUGAUGUGAUGUGAGGUGUCGGGCUUUGGUCAUCGAUCACGUUGAUCGAGUCGUCAAAGAGGAAGCAGGGGCAACAAGGACAAAGUGGGGGUCAUUGAUGGAUCACUAACCAACCUAUACUAAGCAGUUCAGGAUAAGCAGGUAAGUAACAAUAAGCAGGUUACAAAAGCAGGCUAUGUGUUAGAAUAGGAGCAAUCAAAUACAAUAGCAAAAUCUAAUGCAAGCAUGAGAUAAUGGAAUGGGCGAUAUCGGGAUGAUCAAAGGGGGGGCUUGCCUGGAAACUCCGAUGAAAGGGAAGAAGGGUCGUUGUCGACGUAGUCGAUCACAAGGGCAUCAGCAGCGGUCUCGGGGUCUACCGGGGAGAAGAGGGGGAAGAAAUAGUAAAUACAUAGCAAACAGAUGCAUGACAAAGCAUAACAUGGCAAUACGCGAUGCAAGGGGUGUUCUAACGCAGUGCUAGGUGAUACUGGCGAAGGGGCAAAACAUCCAGGAAAGUUUUCCCGGUUUCGGAUGUGUGCCAGACAGAUGAACCGGAGGGGAAAGGUUUGACGUUUUCUAGGAUAGGGACGCGUGGCGGGCGAACGGUCUGCGUAUUCGGAUUCGUCUCGUCGUUCUGAGCAACUUUCAUGUAUAAAACUUUUUCAUCCGAGAUACGGUUUAUUUUUUAAGAUUUUUCAAAAAUUUAAUAAUAUUAUGAAAUUGUUUUAAUUAUUUAAUUCGAAUUUAAAUAGUGCUGAUUCUAUUUAUACACAGCAGCAGCUAGCCACUGAGUAUGACAGGUGGGGUCCAGGGGCCUUGUUGAGCAAAUCAACAUUUGUCUAGUCAAUAGGUGAAUAGUGCAAGUGGGUCCUACCUGUCAAUGACUUAUGGGUUAAUAAACUAUUUAAACUAGUUGAAUUAGUGGUGGAGGGGUCCCACAUGCCAUAGUCAGCAACUAAACUAUUCUAGUUAAUUAGAUAAAUUAGCUGCAGGGGCUCCACAUGUCAUAGGGGGUUAGUUAGUCUGAUUAGUGCUAAACUAAUUGGACCGGCCAUAUGUAUUGGUUGUGCCACGGUUGGGCACAAGGAGCAUGAGCUCCAUGGCCGGCUAGGAGUUCCUGGUGGCAGCAUCGGCAGUAGUGGCCGUAGCAGCCAAGGCAACAGCAGUGGUGAGGAGAAGCAUAGUAGCAGGAGCAGCAGCUUGGCAAGAGCAGCAGUGAGCAGCCGCAGCAACAGCAAGCAGGCAGCAGCGCCUCACAACAGCAGCAGAGCAGCAGGUGCGUGCGGCGCAUGCGGGCAGCGCGAGCGGCAGCAGCCGGUACGCAGGAGCGGCACCAGUGCAGCGCAAGCGGCUGUAGUAGUGGUGCGGUCAGCAAAGAGCAGCAGCUUAGAGCAAGCACACUCGUACGUACACGUUGGCGCGAGAUCGGAUAGGCUUGGGGACAGCAAACGACGACCGGGUCGGGGCAGAGGAAGGGGGAUCCGGAGGAUUUCCUCACCACGAGUCCAUUGGUGCGCUCGGGGACGGUCGGGGUGGACCGGAGACGAGGUAAACGAUGAUGGCGGCCGGCGAUGCACGCGGCGAAGAUGAGCUCGAUGGCGAGCGUAUGAGGCGGCUCCGCUCGAGUUGAUGCUCGGGACGGAUGAAGACGGCCACGCUGGACCUCCUGGACGUCCUCCCGCGCGUAGGGGACGACGGUGGCCGCGUCAGCGGCGAUGGCGCGUUGACGGCACCUCGUGCACGAGGAACACAGGAG
rnacentral:lncRNA from 1 species